GCUACCAGUCAGAAUUAGUUCCCAAAAUUUACCUUAAAGAAUAUAUGAGUAACACCCCUAUUAGGCAUGUUAGGAGUGUAACCCCUAAUUUGCAUAUCUGUGGUCAAGCCCAAGGAGUGGGCAUCAUACUUGCACAAAGAGCUCUUUGCUUAGAAAAAGAAAGUUGGAUGCAGUUGCUCUUAAAGAAGCUCACAGCAAGUUGACAAGAAUUCAUCAUUUUGGGGUAUAUAACAGUUGGUGAGUUUAAUUAUUUUCAUUUAUUAUAUUGCAUAAUGUUGUAAUUAUAUAUUAAUGUACUAAUUGCAAGAUUUAACUUAGGAAGAUACAUAUUGCAAGUUGGUCAGUAAUUAUACCAACUCUCUCAUGGAUUAUAUAUAUGUUUCUGUGAUGCGAGAUAAUUAUGUGUGCAGCAUAUAAAUGGGCACACCCAGCAAGAUAUAAUUUACAUUUGAUGUAUAUUCUAUUAUAUGUAUGAUAGAUUCAUCUUAGUUUAAGAUUCAUUUAAUCCUUGUAUAUUAUCUGGGAUAAGUUGUUUCAGUUAUAGAUGUAUGUAAUUCAUUAGUAGCCUCGCUUAUAUAUCACAUAUUGUGUAUAUAGUCAAGUUAGGGAAAGAAGUGAAAGUAAGUUUAGAGCGAGAAGGAGUUUAUGACUCAUCAUCAUACUCUGGACAGUGCUCGCAUCUCCUCACAAAGGGAAGCCCUACACUGUGCAUACAAUGCAUGCAAUACACCAAUACCAGUGUGUGUGUGUGAGGGGAUGCAGACCACUCUCUGGCUGGUGAUGAAUCGGACUCCAGAGCAGAGUUUCAGAGAAAACCACUGUUAGAGGAUCUGUUCCGACCCAAACUUAAUUCUCACUGAUCCAAGUCAGUGUGAAUGGGGUUUAUAGGAAUGUCAUUUAGAGACAGAAACAAAAGUUUAGUUUGAAGUUCUUAUUAGUUGUUGUACUACAGCAAAGUUAAAGGAAUAAUUCAUGUGUUACGUAUACAUGUAUUCAGUUAAUGUUUAUUGCUUAUAUUUAAUCUCAGUAUCUAAUGUAUAGAAUAGAUCAUGAAUAACAAGUUAUGAUCGAUGUAUCAUUAACGCAUCUUAUGCUAUUAAGAGCCCAAGUCACAUUUGAAAGAUAAGUCCACAAACAAUUUACUUUGGUUUAAUAAGAAUAUUAAUCAUAUAUCACAAUAUUACAUUUGGUGUUUAUCAUGUAGUUAAACAAGUAUAAUAUCAUAUAGACUAUUCAUGUAUGUAAUCAGACAGUUUAAUUUAACUUAUACAAUUUACUUAUUAAUUCAUGUUUAUGUUUAUUUGUUUCAGCUAACCACACACAUACGCAGUGACACACACACACGUUGGUCAUACAUACACACCUACGCACAGUGGAACACGUGCGACUGGUUGUAUUCACAUGUACGUCAUAUAAGCUCAGGCAGUGUUCACACAUUACGCUCAAGUCGUGUUCACACACAAGUUUAUGUUACGAAUCAAGUGACACUUCGACAUUUGUUAUUGCUCGUCGAUCUUUAUCCAUUGAAUAAAUGCAACAAGGUUUUAUUGGUUGGAACUUUAAGACAAGGUCUUCGUGGUGAUUUAUUAAGCGUCGUGGUGACUUUCAAGUUUGUGUGCGUUAGAACGUUAUAGUUUCCCUCCGUGUAGGAAGUUUAUUUCGUGAGCUGUAAACGACCCUACACGUCAGUUAGCAACUCGAUAUAUAAGUCAGUUAACAACUCGCUAUAUUAGUUAAGAUGUCUUCUUCAGAAAAGAGUUCGACGACGAGCAAGCCUGUUGAUCACAAGGAUACAUCAAGGGACUCGCCGUCAGAUGAUAGCACGCCAAUUAAAGCAAAAACUGAGCAGUCAGAAGAUGUCGCGUCAAUGCGGCAUUCUUGCCAAGGUUACAUAAGAAGCUUGGCAAGACAGUUCCAAGAACUUGAGUUUCUCAUGCUAAGUGGAGACAACUUUGAUGAAGCUGAACUCAAGUACAGCCAACUUAAAGGUACAUUCCUUCUAUAUGAAAGGAAGUGCAAAGACUACUUUCGCGAACUAUCAACCGAUGAAAAGCGAGCCGAGAUGAAAUUAUAUGAAUCUCAGAUGGAAAAUAAGGUUGAAUUUGACCGCCGAUACUCAGAAUGGGCCGAUCAGAUGAGACAACCCAUGGUGGAAGAUCUACAAUCUGAGAACUCAGACAAGCUAUCUGUUCGGUCAUCGGCAACAAGAAGAAGCGGUUCCAGUCGGGCAAGCGGCUUGAGCUCAUCUUCAUCGCGACUAAGGGAUGUCAAGGUGAAAGCGCAUCUCGCCAAGCUCAAGUUAGAACAAUUAAAGAAAGCUCAAAAAGUUAAACGAGAGCAGGAAAGGCUCAAAGAACAGUUGGACGCUAUGGAGAUAGAAAAUGAAAUAAAAAAUGCUGAGGUAGAAGCUCAGCUCUUAGAAGAUACUGAGAGUGAAGUUGAGUUAAAGGUAAGAAGUGACUAUGAUGUUAAUGAUAUUAUGCAUGUACAUGUACCACAUAGGGUAAAUAAGGAACCAAAUAAGGAAGAGCGGCCAACUGAAAAUGUAGUUAAAGAUACAUGUAACACAGGUCUGUCUAAUCUGAACCCUAAUGCCCCAGUAUGGCAGACCAAUCAAAAUGUUGCACAGGGACUCGAUUUACCUCAACUCUUUCAGGCCCUGAAUCUUUCUGUAAAUCUCCCCAAACCUGAUUUGAUGACAUUUGAUGGUAAACCAAUAGAUUACCAGUCAUUUAUUAACAACUUUGAAAUCAAUAUAGAGGGAAAGAUUACAGAUAAUAGGACAAGGUUGAUGUACCUUAUUCAAUACUGCUCAGGGGUAGCAAGGAGCAGCAUUGAGAAUUGUGUCCUAAUGGGUGGGGAUCUUGGGUACCUAGAAGCCAAAAGAAUACUUAGGGAACAGUUUGGACAACCUUACAUAGUAGCCCAGGACCAUCUAAAGAAAGUCCUAAAUCGCCCCCAAGUAAAAUCGAAUGAUGGGGCUAGGAUGUGGUCAUUGGCUAGGGACAUGCAAAGAUGUCAGAUGGUUCUUAGUCAAAUGGGUUAUAUGGCAAACGUCAAUAACUCAGAUAAUUUACUAAAGAUUCAACAGCUUCUCCCAAUCCAUCUCCAGUCAGAGUGGGCCAAGCAAGCACACAGGUUGAUGGAGAACAACGCAGUUCCGACGUUCGAAGUGAUGACAACCUUCGUGGAGAAGGCCGCUAAACUGGCCAACAAUAUGUUUGGCCAAAACAUUGGGCGGUCCUCCACGAAGGAAAAUACACAAUCUUCGAAGAUGCAACCUAAGAGAAAGGGCACCACCCUGACAACGCAAGGUAAGAGCCCAAAACAGCAGACGCCGGGACAGGAUAGCAGGCCAGGCAACAAGUGCCCCUGUUGUUCUGAAGAUCAUAGGCUGAGUGCUUGCAAGGUCUUCAAGCAAAAGCCUUAUGAAGACAGAUUCAAGCUGGCACAAAAGGUGAGGGUAUGUUUCAACUGCCUCCUGCCAUCACACAUGGCGAAGAACUGCACCAGCGAAGGUAGGUGCAGGCGAGAAGGAUGCCAGAAGAAGCAUCACACCCUUCUUCAUUCCUCCACGAAACAAAGCUCCAGGACAGCUACAACUGGGGCCGGUGAAAGGGAAGGGAUUCCACCUGAGCCAGCAAGUGACGUCACAGAAGCCGGUCAAUGCCAUAGUGUGUCUUCCCGAAAGAAGGUGUGCCUGAGAGCUGUUCCUGUGAAAGUCAGGGGCAAAGACAAGGACGUUUUCACCUGGGCACUCCUGGACCAAGGAAGUGAUGUAUCGCUGUGUGACAGGAAACUAGUCGAGGAACUGGGCAUACAGGGAGUCAAAAGAAGCUUCCAACUCACCACAGUGGACACUGUGGGCACCAUCAAGACUGGUCUGGAGGUAAGGCUCAAUGUAGAAAACAUCCACGACAAUGAAAGCAUAACCAUGUCAAGGGUAUGGACGGUUGAAAGCCUUCCUAUAUCCGAAUCCUGCAUCCCAGAUGGCACAGAUGUAAACAAAUGGUCACAUCUACGAGGAAUCGAACUUCCCCGUAUCGAAGAAAGGGAAGUUCGGAUCCUGAUAGGAGCAGACACUCCAGAGGCUUUCUGGGUGAUGGAGCAGAGGAUUGGGAAGAGAAAGGAACCCUAUGCAGUAAGGUCUUUGCUAGGAUGGACUCUUCUUGGACCAACAAGGUCAGCAGACGCCAACACUCCAAACCAUGUCAACUUUGCUCGUCUGGAGGACCAGAGGCUUGAUGACCAGCUUAAGCAAUUCUGGACAACAGACUUCGGAGCAUAUAUGGUUGGAGACAAGGUAGGAGAGUCCAUAGAAGACAGAAGGGCGAGAAAGAUGAUGGAGGAAAGUACUACACUAGUUGAAGGUCACUACGAGGUUGGUCUUCCGUGGCGCCAUAGUCCAGCAUUCCUACCAGACAGUAGAAAGAUGGCUGCCUCAAGGCUUCACUACUUGAAGGGAAAAUUCAAUAGGAAUGAAGAGAUGUACAACAAGUACAAUGCAACUGUACAAGAGUACAUAGACAAGGGCUAUGCGGAAGAAGUAGGACCAUAUGAGGACCAAGGUUCUCCUACCAAGCCUCUGUGGUACUUACCGCAUCAUCCGGUCCUGCACCCUCAUAAGCCAAACAAGGUGAGGGUGGUCUUCGACUGUGCGGCACGGUCGAAAGGCCAAUCCCUGAACGAUCAGCUUCUACAGGGCCCCGAUUAUACAAACAGCCUUGUAGGAGUACUCACAAGAUUUCGACAGGAACCCAUUGCCUUGGUAGCGGACGUGGAAGCAAUGUUCCACCAAGUCAAGGUGAGAGUUGACCACAGGGACGCCCUUAGAUUUCUCUGGUGGAAAGAUGGCGACACAAGCCAUGAACCAUCAGAAUAUAGGAUGACGGUGCAUCUAUUUGGUGCAACCUCAUCACCAAGUGUUGCUGGAUACGCCUUGAGAAAGACAGCAGACGACAAUGAGACAACUGACAACCAUCAGGCAACCAAGAUCGUCAGACGGAAUUUCUAUGUAGACGAUUGCCUAACGUCAGUAAAGUCUGCUGAAGAAGCCUCAAGGUUAGUUAAUGAAUUGAGAGAGCUGCUGAGCAAAGGUGGGUUUAGGCUCACAAAGUGGAUUAGUAAUGACCGUAAUGUACUGUCGUCUGUUCCAGAAGCCGAAAGAGCAGCAUCUGUACCGAAUAUGGAUCUAGAUAAGUUACCAGUGGAGCGAACACUCGGUAUACUUUGGGAUGUGGACCAAGACUCCUUCGGUUUCAAGGUGAAUAUCAAAGAGAAACCAACCACAAGACGAGGGAUCUUAUCUACCGCAAGCUCCCUCUAUGAUCCACUAGGGUUCGUAGCUCCCUUUGUCCUCCCUGCCAAAGCUCUGCUACAGAAACUUUGUAGGGAAGGACUUGGUUGGGAUGAGCCCAUCCCAGAGGACGAGGAAAGGGAAUGGAGCAACUGGCUCCAAAGUCUCCCCAUUCUAACCGGCCUCAAGAUAAGCAGAUGCCUCAAGCCCACCUACUUCAAGGACGUGGUGUCAGCUCAACUCCACCACUUCUGCGAUGCAUCCGAGAUCGGAUACUCCUCAGUGGCUUACCUGCGCUUAACCGAUGAAAGUGGGAGAAUACACUGCGCCUUCGUCAUGGGUAAGUCAAGACUAUCCCCAUUGAAGACGGUGUCUAUUCCACGACUGGAAUUAUCUGCUGCAGUUCUCGCAGUCGACGUCAAUCGAUUCCUGCAAGAGGAACUUGAUGUUCCAGUAAAUGAGACCUUCUACUGGACGGACUCAACAGCAGUCCUGCAGUAUAUUCGGAACGAAAGUAGGAGAUUCCAUACUUUCGUCGCCAACAGAGUUGCCAAGAUACAUGAAGCAUCUCAUGUAUCACAGUGGCGGCACGUUGGAACAAAGAUCAAUCCAGCUGAUGACGGUUCCAGGGGCAUGACUGCAAAGGAGUUGAUAGACAAUCCUCGCUGGUUACAAGGACCACAAUUCCUGCAGCAGGAUGAGGAGAAUUGGCCAGCUCCACCAGAUGUCAUCCAGGAACUUUCAGCAGAAGACCUUGAAGUUAAAAAGGUACAAGUCCAUACGAUUACCUCCAAGAACUCCAUAGACGAGCUCAUCACAAGAUACUCAUCAUGGAUAAGUCUUCUGAGAGGUGUAGCCUGGCUACUUCGAUACAAGCAGUACCUCAAAUCUCGGGGUGAUGAUAAGACAGUAAGCACUGAUGACCUGUCGCCUCAAGAGUUGAAGGCUGCGGAAGUAGAAUUAAUCAGGUACGUACAGAAUCAGAGCUUCCCAGAAGAGAUGAGCGAAUCGUCCUCAAGACAAAAGUCAUCUCGUCUGGAUAAGCUCCAUCCAAUCAAGGUUGAUGGUUUAUUGAGGGUAGGAGGAAGGCUUUCAAGAGCUCCUCUGACGGAUGAGGAAAAGCAUCCCAUCAUCCUCCCUAAUGACCACCAUGUGACAACUUUGAUAAUCAACGAGCAUCAUCAACAGGUUGGGCACUCAGGUGCUGGAAUCACAUGGACAGCUCUGAGACAAAAGUUCUGGGUCCUCAGAGGAGGAGCAACGGUAAGAAGGAUCAUCGGCAACUGCUUCAAAUGCAAAAGAAGAAACUCUCCUAGAGGGAAGCAGUUCAUGGCCGACCUCCCUGAGGAAAGAGUGACCCCAGACAGACCUCCGUUCACAACCACCGGAUUGGACUAUUUCGGUCCAUUCCUUGUGAAAAGAGGACGCAGUCAGGAGAAGCGAUAUGGCUGUGUCUUCACCUGCCUUGCGUCAAGAGCAGUUCAUCUUGAAGUUGCACAUUCACUGGAUACGGACUCCUUCAUCAAUGCUCUACGACGGUUUAUCAACCGUAGAGGAUGCCCAGACAAGAUAUACAGUGACAAUGGCACCAACUUCAAGAGUGGGCACAGGGAGCUGAAAGAAAGCAUCACCGCUCUAAAUUCGAAGAAGGUCGGAAGGUAUCUUGCCCAGACAGGAAUCCAGUGGGAAUUCAACCCACCAGGAGCAAGCCAUAUGGGUGGAGUCUGGGAAAGGAUCAUACGUUCCGUAAGGAAGAUCCUAGAAAGCCUUCUGAAUCAACAGACCUUAACGGACGAAUCCCUCUUGACACUAUUAACUGAAGUAGAGGCAAUUCUUAAUGCCAGACCCUUGACUAAGAUAAGCUUAGACCCACGAGACCACGAACCUCUAACUCCAAACCAUCUCCUUCUUCUGAGAAGAAGCCAAUCACUUCCACCUGGCAUCUUCAACAAAGAAGAUUGCUAUGUCAGGAAGAGGUGGCGACAAGUUCAAUAUAUGGCCGAUCAAUUCUGGAAGAGAUGGGUGAGGGAGUAUCUACCCCUUCUGCAAGAAAGACAGAAGUGGACAAAACCACAAAGAAACUUUGAACCAAAUGACCUAGUCCUCAUAGCCGAUGACAACUUCCCACGUGGUCAGUGGCCCCUGGGUAGGGUUGUCGAAACUUAUCCAGACAAGCAGGGUAGGGUCCGACAAGUUGAAGUCAGGGUUGGGUCAAAAAUUCUAAAACGUCCCAUUUCCAAAUUAUGCUUACUGGAAGCUCAUGGUCAUAAUUCCUAAUUUGGUAUCUAAUUUACUCUAUCUCUCUCGAGGUUGUGUUUAAGUUCUAUUGUGUAACUCAGAAGAAAUUUGAUUGUUGCGUAUUCAAUCAAGUACAAAUUACUUGAAUUUAGGUAUAUUGCUCUUGUUAUGUAUUCCAUGUACUGAAUCUAUAAAUGUGUUUCUUAUAUCAUGUUUAAUUUGUUAUAUGCCUGUUCAAGAAAAGUUUACUAUGUAUGUUAUAACAUGAUGAUAUCAUGUUUGGUGUGAUAUUCACGCCGCCUUUGAUAGUUAGAAAAUGAUCAUCCCGUGGUCAGUUCAUUGGGGCCGGUAUGUUACGGCGGCUACCAGUCAGAAUUAGUUCCCAAAAUUUACCUUAAAGAAUAUAUGAGUAACACCCCUAUUAGGCAUGUUAGGAGUGUAACCCCUAAUUUGCAUAUCUGUGGUCAAGCCCAAGGAGUGGGCAUCAUACUUGCACAAAGAGCUCUUUGCUUAGAAAAAGAAAGUUGGAUGCAGUUGCUCUUAAAGAAGCUCACAGCAAGUUGACAAGAAUUCAUCAUUUUGGGGUAUAUAACAGUUGCUAACCACACACAUACGCAGUGACACACACACACGUUGGUCAUACAUACACACCUACGCACAGUGGAACACGUGCGACUGGUUGUAUUCACAUGUACGUCAUAUAAGCUCAGGCAGUGUUCACACAUUACGCUCAAGUCGUGUUCACACACAAGUUUAUGUUACGAAUCAAGUGACACUUCGACAUUUGUUAUUGCUCGUCGAUCUUUAUCCAUUGAAUAAAUGCAACAAGGUUUUAUUGGUUGGAACUUUAAGACAAGGUCUUCGUGGUGAUUUAUUAAGCGUCGUGGUGACUUUCAAGUUUGUGUGCGUUAGAACGUUAUAGUUUCCCUCCGUGUAGGAAGUUUAUUUCGUGAGCUGUAAACGACC